ACGCCUGGCGGCGCGGGAAUCAAUUAGUUUGAUCAUGGCUCAGAUUGAACGCUAGCGGUAUGCUUUACACAUGCAAGUUGAACGGAAAUAAAUAAUUAUUCUUUUUGAAUUUUUAUUUUUUUUAGUAGCGAACGGGUGAGUAAUACAUUAGAACGUACUUUGUAGUGGGGAAUACCUUAAUGAAGAUUAAGUUAAUACCGCAUAAUAUUUAAGAAUUAAAGUGGGGGAUUUAUUUUUAUUAUAAACCUUACGCUACAAAAUCGGCUAAUGCCUGAUUAGUUAGUUGGUAUAUUAAAAGUUUACCAAGACUUUGAUCAGUAGCUGUUCUGAGAGGAUGUGCAGCCACAUUGGGACUGAGACAAGGCCCAAACUCCUACGGGAGGCAGCAGUGGGGAAUAUUGGACGAUGAGCGAAAGCUUGAUCCAGCAAUAUCGCGUGUGUGAGGAAGAUUUAAGAAUUGUAAAACACUUUUUUAUAGGAAUAAAAAAAAUUUAACUAAUAAUUAAAUUUUAUGACAGUACUAUAAGAAUAAGUACCGGCUAAUUACGUGCCAGCAGCCGCGGUAAUACGUAAGGUGCAAGCGUUAAUCAGAAUUAUUGGGCGUAAAGGGUGUGUAGGUUGUUUAUUAAGACUUUUGUAAAAUAUUUUAGCUUAACUAAAAAAAUGCAUAAGUAACUUUUAAACUUGAGUUUAAUAGGAGUUGAUAGAAUUCUAUAAGUAGCAGUGAAAUGCGUAGAUAUAGAGGAAUACCGACGGCGAAAGCAAUCAUCUAUAUUAAUACUGACACUGAGGCACGAAAGCGUGGGUAGCAAACAGGAUAGAUACCCUGGUAGUCCACGCCCUAAACAAUGUCAACUAAUUAUUAGAUAAAAUUAUUAUUUAGUGAUGUAGCUAACGCGUUAAGUUGACCGCCUGGGGAUUACGAUCGCAAGAUUAAAACUCAAAGGAAUUGACGGGGAUUAGCACAAGCGGUGGAUGAUGUGGAUUAAUUCGAUGAUACACGAAAAACCUUACCUACCCUUGACAUGAAUUGGAAUUUUGUUGAAAAAUAAAAGUGCCUGUAAAGGAGCCAAUACACAGGUGCUGCAUGGCUGUCGUCAGCUCGUGUCGUGAGAUGUUGGGUUAAGUCCCGCAACGAGCGCAACCCUUGUCCAUAGUUGCUAAAUAUAAAAUUAUUUUAUAUAGAACUUUAUGGAAACCGCUUAACAAUAAAUUAGAAGGAAGGAAAGGAUGACUUCAAGUCCUCAUGGCCCUUAGGGGUAGGGCUUCCACCAUCAAACAAUGGUUGAAACAAAAAGUUUGCAAGAUUGUGAAAUUGAGCUAAUCUAUAAAAUCCAUCCUCAGUCCGGGAUUGUACUCUGCCACUCGAGUACCUGAAAUUGGAAUCCCUAGUAAUCCGCGAACCACCGUGCCCCGGUUGAAUAAAUCCAACUGGAUCUUGUACC
rnacentral:rRNA from 1 species